CGGGAAGUAGCUUAAUAGGAAAAGCAUAGUCUUGAUAAGGCUAAAGACGUUGGUUCAAUUCCAAUUUUGCCGA
rnacentral:tRNA from 1 species